UACAGAGGGGGCAAGCGUUGUUCGGAAUUACUGGGCGUAAAGGGCGCGUAGGCGGCCCGCUAAGUCGAACGUGAAAUCCCCGAGCUCAACUCGGGAACUGCGUCCGAUACUGGCGGGCUUGAAUCCGGGAGAGGGAUGCGGAAUUCCCAGGUGUAGUGGUGAAGUGCGUAGAUAUCUGGAGGAAUACCGGUGGCGAAGGCGGCAUCCUGGACCGACAUUGACGCUGAGGAGCGAAAGCUAGGGGGAGCAAACGGGG
rnacentral:rRNA from 1 species